rnacentral:siRNA from 1 species
AUCUCUAAAACCAAAAAGCUCCCU